rnacentral:sRNA from 1 species
GCUGGGUGUUGUGUCACACACCUGUAAUCCCAGCAGCUUGGGAGGCUGAGGCAGGAAGAUUGCAAGUUCAAAGCCAGCCUCAGCAAUGGUGAGGCGCUAAGCAAUUCAGUGAGACCCAGUCUCUA